rnacentral:lncRNA from 1 species
GAAGUAUAAACCAACAUUAGAUAUCAAAAUGUAAGAUAAAGUCUCUGCUUUGAGGCAUAACAACAGCUAGUCAACAUGAUUUUUUCCUCCAAAUCAAGACUUCCCAAGAAUAAGCUAGCAUCUGGACUGAAUCCACUGGAUAGAUCGAUCGACUACAAGAACAUUUUUGCAACCUGAAUACGAAUGGAAAAAGCAUGGUGAUAAUGCAAAUUCGGAAGCCCUGUUUAGCGACGCAUUCAUCUGUCCAUGUUCACUCCAUGACUAAUAGCACUACUAAAAUCACCAGGGUGCUACAGAUUCGCAAGCUCGCCUAAGAUUAUGGAAGCACCAUCCGUACUUGCGCUCCAUUCCUCGGCACCAAGUUCUCUGUCACUGCACAAAGUAAGAGAAGUGGCCCCAAAAUCAGUUCACCUACUUCACCAGAACUAAGAAACAAAUAGAAAUCCAAGAGGAUCAAGCUGCAACAUUACUAGGAGCAUCAACGGUACGAGAAGCCCGCUGGAGUGAACUAAGAAACAAAAAAUAUUUUUAGUAAUUUAGUAAUUGAACUGAUGGUCUUUUUGUGAAAUCAUGCACUAAAUAACUGCUGCAGAAUAUGGAAAAUAUACCAAAGAGAAACCGGAGGUGUGGCGGCACUGCUGCAGCACUUGUGGAUUUUAUAACAUUUUCAAGAGAAUCGGGCCAUACACUUGCUGGAAAAAUGGAAAAAGGGCAACCUGGUGCAUGUAGCUCCCGCUUGCGCAGGGUCCAGGGAAGGGUCCGACCACUUUGGGUCUAUAGUACGCAGCCUUUCCCUACAUUUCUGUAAGAGGCUGUUUCCAGGACUUGAACCCAUGACCUCAUGGUCACAAGGCAGCAGCUUUACCACUUGCUGGAAAAAUGGAACUUCAAAUAAAUCUAUUCGGCAAGAGGAAACAUAGGGUAUCCUUUCUUUGCCUAUUAUACCAAAUACCAAACAACAAAAAUUGGUUCUCAUAACCAUUUCAACAAGCACCUAUAAACCAUCAAUUAUUCUCAUAUAAGUAGCAUAGAAUCGAAUGGAGCAGCAGUAGGGCAUGAGAAGAAAGAAGUAGCAGCAACACCUCAAGAUCCUACCAUUUUUUUGUACAUGAUGCAUCUCCCCUACCGUUCAGAUACAGGAGGCCAUUGAGUUCACUUACUGGAUAUCAUUCAGUUAAGUUUGUGUACAUGCUCGCAUUUCGCAUCAGACACCAGGCAUGCAUCAGCACACACGCCACAGUACACACGCAAGUUCUAGUAGGCAGCAUGGAUUAUUUUGUUGAAUCCAUUGAACGGAAGGGAGCUCCUUCAACCUGUAAGAUGAACGGAAAAAGCAUACAAGGUGAAAUAAUUUUGUCAAUGUCGAAAUGAUCAUAAUCAUGUAAAACAUGUAAAAAUAACGACAAGUUCAUGCAUAGUAACAUUAGAAGUAUACGAAGAAACCUAAAUAGAAGUUCUGUACUUUAAAAUACUUCAUUUUAGUUCCCAAAUACUUCAUUUGUUUCGAAAUAUGAACUUCUAUAUUUAUUUUCUUAGAACUUAUUAUGUUUCCCCUGCAAAUUUCAUAUAUAAGUGAAUUAUUUCCCAUCAACCAACAGAUUUCACUUCUUUAUGUUGAACUGCUACAAAUCUAUUUUUGUUAGCAAAACUUGAACGGGAAAAGCCUGCAAAGGUGUACACAACUAUAUCACAUCCUAUGUAAAGGCCAUUGGAGAAAGAAUUAGCAAAACUGAAACAAAAAUAUAUGUUACCAGAACUGAAAGCAAUGGUUUUUCAAACUUUUGGGUGAGUGCACGGUGCUCUAAUUCAACUGCAUAUAUCUGAAACUCCACAAGUGACCUGAACUUAUGCAUAACAGUAUGAGUGCAGAACUCUUGUAAACAUAAGAAAAAGACAUAGAGUGCACAUAUAAUUUUUCAAGAUUUCCUUGAUGUUCUGCACAUUAAAGUUGAUGUACUGAAAGAAUGCAAAUUUUGAACUGAAAAUCAAGUAAAAAAUGAACUCUUAUAAAGUUCAAGGUCAAAAGAACCUCCACACGCACCAAACUUAUAGAAUUUUUUCUCUGAACCUAUUUAGUGAUACAUCUAAACUUACAGGAUUCCGAAACAUGAACUGAUGAUUUUUCUGCACAAGGACCCAAGAAUUCUGUAGCAUCACACGUGCUAUGCAUGUUUAGGCAAAUGGAGAUGCCAAUUUUGUCCAUAUAGUUACUUAUGGCUACCAGCAAAUUUAAAAAAAGGAAGACAGAUAGGUCUAGCUACUCUAUUAUGAAGCUCACCUUAAUAUUUGAGAUACCAAUGAACCACUAACGAAGGGGCUCCCUGGGGCCGCUCCCUGUCUCCAACCGAAAAAAGACCGAUGACAAUGCACAUGAACCAGUACGACCGCCGUGGGGCAGGAACCAUGACGACGGCGGCCUGAUCAUUGAAAAAAAUCUAGGGCGGAGCAUGGGGUGGCCUGCACGCAGCUCUUGUCGUGAACGGCAGUGGCGGGUGCAGUUGUACUGCCAAGAUGAAUAUCCUCGCCCUCCUUCCGCUGAGCGCAACGUCACAGAAUACCAACUACCAUCAGUUGUAGUCAAAGCACUUACUGAAAAGGUCCCAUUGGCAUGCCGAAGUUGCUUAUUUACUCGAUAUUCUGAAAAGAAGAAUGCCAAGACUAACAUCAUAACUUGAUUUUUUCUAGUGGAUACAUACUGAUGAACUACUAUAGGUCUUGUUGUUGAAUUGUCCUUGCUAUUCAGGAUGUUUUUUCUUUUUACAAAAUUUAACUGAAGAGUACUCCAUUUUAGAAAAAAUAUGAACUUUACGAAAAAGAAAACCUGAACAUUUGAGAUGGUAGUGUGUGAACUUCUCAAUAAAACAUUUUAUUUUAAAUGUUUGUGCGAUCAAAAAUAGAAAAGUGUGGGAAAUAGGAUGUGCACUUUCCUGUACAGAAAGUUUGAACUCCCUGUCAAAUGAUUGGUUUCAGUAGUAGAGAAAAAUGGCUGAACCUCUUACGUACAAAACUGAACUUGAUUCAACCUUCACACAUCAAGAAGUUUGAACUUCACUCAAACAUUUAAAUAGUUCAACCAAAUACAUACAAACAGAAAACAUGCUAUAAUCGGUCUUGUUUUGCAAACUAUUAAGUAAGCAGCACAUUAUUUUUGGGCAGAGACUUACAUUGGUCUGGGCGAUGAUGAGUUGGACUUGUUAUAGUACUGGCACUUGCUUCCUGAUAUCAAACCACCAUCUUCUUUUAUUUUCUCCAUUGGGAAUCUUGUGAUGACCAUUUUGUCUUUGAAACAAAGAAGGGUAGUAGUUUAGCCCUCGCAACACAUAGGAAAUAGAAAAGGGAGCGAGUUGCGCGGAGUACUUAGUACGUACUCAACUAUUCACAUCAUGUAGAGUUAAGCAACUUCAAAAAAAGAAAGUGCAGAUUAAGCAAAAGAGUGACAGAAGUUGAAGUAGAAUUUUAACAACAACAAAUCAAACCACCAUGGUGUUUUGAUGAUUGGUGCUCAGCAACAAAUAGAAUUUUAACAACAACUAUCUACUAGUAGUACUAACCAUCGAGUGGUGCUCAGCAACGUACUCUCAUCCACUAUCGCUGUGGCUAUACAUGAUUAAACCCCCAUAUGGUUCAGAUGAUGCUUAUCGUUCAGUUCAACAUCACGCUCACGCACCUAGUAGAUAGCCAUCGAUCUACAGAAGGAGGAGGCAGCGAC